ACAGCUGCUUUGAACGUGGCCUGGCUGAGCUUUGCUGACUUUCGAGUCCAUUCCAUCAUUUAUCGAACAACAAUAAGAAGAUGAGAUUCAAAGGAAUUCCACAGUGUUCUUCAGAUUCUAUCAGUUGUAGGACACUUCAGGUAUACAAAGACGGCUGGCUACCCUUUAUUUCUCCAAAGUCCAUCCUUGCUUGGCAUGAUGGCAAAGGAAAAUGAACAUGAGGCCCACCUAGUGCAGCAUUUUAGAUCUAACUUGGUACCCAAUUGAGGAAACAAUCUGAACUUCACAAAUCCCAAGUCGGCAACCACGUGCCAAGCCUGCCAGCACCCAUGAUGAACUAUGGCUU
rnacentral:lncRNA from 1 species